GGGGUCGAUUCGGCACGGACGUGUUCCGAUCGAAAAGUCAGGGUGGUCGGUCAGGUGAACGAUAUCCGUGUAUAUAGUUAUAUUGCAGGAACCCUAGGAAACGAGCUUACUGGUGCAUUCCGGGUUCAGCUCUCCGGCGAAGGCUCCUCGCGCGCGUGCAGGAGCACCCGCGCGUUCGUUCGUCUGACGCUUAAUACCAGUUUCACGGCUUGAUAAGCCGAAGCGUGUAAUUUUGCAGCGGCUCCGGAGUCGGAUAAGCACCAGGUUUUCUAGUUAAGUGGACCACAAAAUUCGGGGAAGCCUAUAUAAGGCUUUUCGAGGUAGAAGGCGAUCAGUCGAGCCACAGAGCUCUCCGGCACACCAUCCGCGAUCGAAUUGUUCCUCGUUUCUCUGUAGUUUUUCUAUCGUUUCUCCGGCUCCAUUCAGUUUCCGGUCAUUCCUUCUUUUUUUUAUCCUUGUGCGAUUUGUAUUUGGCCCUUUCCAGUCGAAAACCUGACUCUUAAAACUCAGUCAGACAACCAAUUAGCAAAGAGAGGAUCCUAACCUUACAGAGGGCUGAAAGCUCGCUUACAACUCAGUUCGAGCUCCAAAAACGGAAAAUCGCGAGCGAGACGGUGAAAGAUAAAAACGAAGACGCUUGGUCGACGGCAAAAGGAAUGCCGAGGAGAGGCACCGAAGAGAGGAGAGACGGAACGGACGGCGAGAGAGCAACCUCGCCAUACACUCGUAUAAAGAAGAAGGGCAAAACGAGAGGAGCAUCAUAUGGAAAAGAGGGAGGACGGGUUAAGGAGGUAGCGCGGGAAGAAGGUUCGUACAGCCGAAUCGAGGAUGUAGACAGGAAGGAUGUUCGUCGAGUGCCAUCGACUUAACUCGUGGUAUGGCACAGCGAGCACGAGCCCAUCCUCUUCGGGGCUCUGAAGAGAGCCAAGCCGGCAUAAUAAGCUUUGUGCGCCGACUGUCGACGUCGGAUUCCCACUCACGAAGGGCUGAAGAGGCCAGCCGGAAGCGGCUGCAUCGGCAGCAGUAGCGACAACGCCGAGGAGCACACCGGUAACAGAAACCUUUGCCUGCGCGGGAGUUUGCCCAUACGCGAGAACAUCCGAAGAAUCGAGCAUCUGCUUGUGAAACCAGUCCACCUCUCACGGCGAAUGCUCCCGCCCUACGUAGGUAUGUACAUGUUCCGCUGAAAAAUCUAGAAUGUUAAUUACCAGCCUACAUUCUGCUCCGACGAUCUUUACGUUCAGUAAGAUCUACUCCUCUUAGCUGGUGGAGAUCGUGUACUGUCAGCCCUUUGCCUGGCCCACUUUCUCCCUCUUGGAAACACCAUCUCUUGAAAGUGGAAAUUGUUCUUCUCUCUUCCGGGAUCUUGAGUCAAGUUUGGAAACUUGAUAGGUUCGAUUUAGGACAGCGAGGACUUGGAUCGAGGUCUGAUUGAUUCUCGGGGUAGAAUGGUUUGCUUUAUGCGAGAAUGGGGUUAAAGGAUUGGUGUAAUCGGGGUAGGUAAUGAUUCUGAAUCGACGAGAGAGAAGCAGAAGAUCAUAUAUAUUAUAUAUUAUAACUAGUGGAUUUUACUUUGGAUAUUUUAUAUACUUUUGUACAUUAUCCAAUAUAAAUUUCUCAGUAAUGCGUAAAUAGCUGCAGUCUGAUCGGACACAAGUCCAAUCUAAUCUCAUCUAAUCCUAUUAAUGCAACACCAAACCUGUCAGUGUCAUAUUAAAUUUUUAACUUUAAUACAAUCCUUCGUUCACUCAAGAAUUUCACGUAAGAAAUUUUACUU